rnacentral:rRNA from 1 species
AUACGUAGGUGGCAAGCGUUGUCCGGAAUUAUUGGGCGUAAAGGGAGCGCAGGUGGGAAUGUAAGUCGGUCUUAAAAGUGCGGGGCUCAACCCCGUGAGGGGAUCGAAACUACAUUUCUUGAGUGCAGGAGAGGAAAGUGGAAUUCCUAGUGUAGCGGUGAAAUGCGUAGAUAUUAGGAGGAACACCAGUGGCGAAGGCGACUUUCUGGACUGUAACUGACACUGAGGCUCGAAAGCCAGGGGAGCGAACGGGAUUAGAUACCCCGGUAGUCCUGGCCGUAAACGAUGGAUACUAGGUGUGGGAGGUAUCGACCCCUUCCGUGCCGGAGUUAACGCAAUAAGUAUCCCGCCUGGGGAGUACGGCCGCAAGGCUGAA